rnacentral:rRNA from 1 species
GCUCUACAACCCUUUGUGAACAUACCUAUAACUGUUGCUUCGGCGGGUAGGGUCUCCGUGACCCUCCCGGCCUCCCGCCCCCGGGCGGGUCGGCGCCCGCCGGAGGAUAACCAAACUCUGAUUUAACGACGUUUCUUCUGAGUGGUACAAGCAAAUAAUCAAAACUUUUAACAACGGAUCUCUUGGUUCUGGCAUCGAUGAAGAACGCAGCGAAAUGCGAUAAGUAAUGUGAAUUGCAGAAUUCAGUGAAUCAUCGAAUCUUUGAACGCACAUUGCGCCCGCCAGCAUUCUGGCGGGCAUGCCUGUUCGAGCGUCAUUUCAACCCUCAAGCUCUGCUUGGUGUUGGGGCCCUACAGCUGAUGUAGGCCCUCAAAGGUAGUGGCGGACCCUCCCGGAGCCUCCUUUGCGUAGUAACUUUACGUCUCGCACUGGGAUCCGGAGGGACUCUUGCCGUAAAACCCCCAAUUUUCCAAAGGUUGACCUCGGAUCAGGUAGGAAUACCCGCUGAACUUAAGCAUAUCAAUAAGCGGAGGAAAAGAAACCAACAGGGAUUGCCUCAGUAACGGCGAGUGAAGCGGCAACAGCUCAAAUUUGAAAUCUGGCCCUAGGCCCGAGUUGUAAUUUGCAGAGGAUGCUUUUGGUGCGGUGCCUUCCAAGUUCCCUAGAACGGGACGCCAGAGAGGGUGAGAGCCCCGUACAGUUGGACACCAAGCCUUUGUAAAGCUCCUUCGACGAGUCGAGUAGUUUGGGAAUGCUGCUCAAAAUGGGAGGUAUAUUUCUUCUAAAGCUAAAUACCGGCCAGAGACCGAUAGCGCACAAGUAGAGUGAUCGAAAGAUGAAAAGCACUUUGAAAAGAGGGUUAAACAGCACGUGAAAUUGUUAAAAGGGAAGCGCUUGUGACCAGACUUGCGUCCGGUGAAUCACCCAGCUCUCGCGGCUGGGGCACUUCGCCGGCUCAGGCCAGCAUCAGCUCGCUGUCGGGGACAAAAGCUUCAGGAACGUAGCUCUCUUCGGGGAGUGUUAUAGCCUGUUGCAUAAUACCCUUCGGCGGGCUGAGGUACGCGUCCG